GGAGCACAGAGAAGCAGUAUACAACAGAGAUGCUGUCUCUGUAGCCAGGCUUCGCCUCCAUCUGUGUCAGCCUCUCCCUCUGAGCAUGUGACGUUACUGAGCCAGCUGGUGGCCAUCAGGCUCGGAGGAUUUUGUCUUCUCUGACCUUGACUCCCUCUCUUGGUCAAAUUCUGCAGUCCUGUUCCCUUAGUGCUUCAAAAAGGAAGGCAGAAGACAGGCCCUUAACAGGAAAUGGCAGAGCGUUCAUGGUUAUAGGAACUGGAGGAACAUGGCCAAAGAUGCUUGGCUGUGGAAACAUAUGCAGAAUUUGAGCUUGCAAGAGCAAUUACUGUGCUGUGCUCUCUUGGAUCCUGAAGCUGUCUUAUGGAGACUUGGAACUGUGUCUUUCUCCAAGCAUCUACCUCGAUGAAUGGACAAUGGCCCAAGACUCUUUGUUUUUGUAUCAAGCUUGGCAUUGAACGUGUCUAUAAUUCCUACACUUGAGAGGCAAAGGCAAGAGGGUGAGGAGUACAAGAGCAGUCUUGACAACAUGGCAAGUUUGGAGUCAAUAUAGGCUAUACAAGACUCUGUCUCAAUAAACAUGAAUAAAUAAAAUUUAAAAAACAUGUUUAUAUACCUUUGUGAAUACAAUUUGUAUUUCAAAUUCUGAGUUUACAGAUAAUCUCUUUUUAAUUAAAAAGUUUUCAUCUUUCUUCUACCCCAACCCCUUCUAGAUGCUUCCCACUUCUUUACCCACUCAACUUAAUGUUCUCUCUCUCUCAAAAAAUGGAAAUCAAAACAAAACAAAAACGUAAAAAACCAA